UAACGAAUCUUCCGCAAUGCACGAAAGUGUGACGGAGCGACGCCGCGUGGAGGACGAAGUUCUUCGGAAUGUAAACUCCUGUCAGGGGAAAGAAAGUUCUGAUCUACCCCAGAGGAAGAGGCGGCUAACUCUGUGCCAGCAGCCGCGAUAAUACAGAGGCCUCGAGCGUUAGACGGAAUCACUGGGCUUAAAGCGUGUGUAGGCGGAAGGGUAAGUACCUUGUGAAAUCCCACGGCUUAACCGUGGAACGGCUUGGUAUACUGCUUUUCUUGAGCAAUCUAGGGGCGAGUGGAACAGAUGGUGGAGCGGUGAAAUGCGUAGAUAUCAUCUGGAACGCCAAUGGUGCAGACAACUCGCUGGGGAUUUGCUGACGCUGAGACACGAAAGCCAGGGGAGCGAACGGGAUUAG
rnacentral:rRNA from 1 species